UACGGGGGGGGCAAGCGUUGUUCGGAAUUACUGGGCGUAAAGGGCGCGUAGGCGGUUUGCUAAGUUGGAUGUGAAAACUCUGGGCUUAACCCAGAGCCUGCAUCCAAAACUGGCAAGCUGGAGUUUUGGAGGGGGAAGCGGAAUUCCUGGUGUAGCAGUGAAAUGCGUAGAUAUUGGGAAGAACACCGGUGGCGAAGGCGGCCAUCUGGACCGAGACUGACGCUGAGGCGCGAAAGCGUGGGGAGCAAACAGG
rnacentral:rRNA from 1 species